ACUCUCGCUCCCUCUUUUGAACUUUUCUGCCUGCCUCCUCGCCACCAUUUUGCAUGAUCCUCGGGUUCUUCAGAAUCCGCGAACGAGUGCGGAAUAACGGUGGUCGCGAUCGGGUGUGAUCCUCACAUCGCGAUCGACGUGUGCGACAAAAUCGCGAGAUCUGCGAGGAGUGCAUUCGUGUGCGCGUUUCCGACACAGACUCCGCAGACAGCGCAAACUUACCUGCACCUACACCUGUCUUCUUGCCGCCGCUACACCGAUAUUUUUACGUACUCGCUACACGCCUCCUCGUCGCCUCGCUAACCAGUGUGACUCAUAAUAACACGCAUUUCAGUGUAUAACACGUGGGACAGCAAUUAUAUGUAUUCGUAACUCAUAUUAGAAGCAAAAUCAAGGGGUAGUAAAAUUACAUAUAUUCUCGUAACAAUCUCCAAGUGCAAUGAUGGAUGUAGAUCCGCCGGAAUUUCUCUCAAAGGAUGACGAGAUUCAAUAUUGGAUGGAUUUGGCUCACCAAUUUCAUCAGAGGAAAAACAAUGUUGAACGUGAGCUAGAAGAGUUCCAAGAGAAUUCGCAGAUGUUGGAGGAAGAAUUGGAGACAUCCUUGGAACAAGCAGAGAAGACAAAUAGAGAACUGAGACAGAGAAAUACAAGACUAGCCACAGAGAUUGAACAGUUGAGGACACGAUUAGAUCAGCAGUCUACAGAUUGCGCUAUGUUUCAAGGCAAGGCACAAGAUUUACAGCUGCAGCAUGAACGUUUACUGAAAUACAUUAGAGAACUUGAACAAAAAAAUGACGAUUUGGAAAGAGCACACAGGAUAAAUAGGGUCACUGAAGAAGAAAUAGAAGCUAAGUUUAAUUUAGCUAUAGAAAAAAAUGCUUUGCUUGAGUCAGAACUCGACGAAAAGGAAAGCUUGAAAGUUAUAGUGCAAAGAUUAAUGGACGAAGUUAGAGACCUAAAGCAGGAGAUACAGGUACACGAGAGGCAUCAUGCAGACAAUAAUAAGUCCGAGAGAGUUCGCAGCAUUGUCGAUAACAAUAAGCUGCAAACCGAAUUGGAAUCGAAUUCACCUGCUAGCCAAAUAGCCCCGCAAACCAUACCUCCGAAUAAUACAACGACUUCGCCAUUAAAAAUUGGACACGGGAUGGUAGGGGGAGUAAUUGGAAACAACAACAAUAAUAAUAUGAGCCAACCAUUGCCACCCUGCACUAGAAUACUGGCAAUGAAUAUGAUCGGUGACCUUAUGCGAAAAGUAGGGCUUGACAGAUGGGUCUGCGUAGGCUGUAGAAGAAUAAAAUGCGCUUGUCCGAGCGGACAAAUAUCGAAUACCACGUCGUCUAGCGACUUAUCAACCCAGACACACGCAUCUGUUCAGUGCAUAAGGCAACAACCUAGACCGACCACAUGCAGAUCUUCGUCGUGACCUCUCAUCGUUAAAUUAUUUUGCACCUCCCUAAGAAGCAGGCGUUGGAAAAUAAGCUGAACACAUGUCGAAAUGCGUUUCGAGAAGAUCAAGCGGUUCGUGAUCUCUACAGGGCUAGACGACAAGUCAGAAGCCCAGCCUCAGGAAACAACAACCACAUUCGAUUAUAAACGAAGAGAUAAUGUCGCAGCGAUCGUAUGUCCGCACACAUCAUGUUAUGUAACACUAAUGUAACAUUAAUUGAAUAUUCGUUUAAUAGUAAUUUCUCGUCCAAGUUAGUUCGACAAAAUUUAUACAGAAUCGAAAAGCGCUAACAUUUUUUCAUGCUAGGCAUGAAAACUUCUCUUUUAGCUAUAAUUUUUGUAACUCACCGUUUCCAUUACGACUCGCGUUGAUUACCUUCGUUUGCGUUUCUCUUUAUCUCUGUUGUAAUACGCGAAUAAAAGAAUAUAUUUUAUUAAAACCUACAUGUGUAAGCUCGCCGCUAUAAAUUACUUAAAAACAAGGAUUCAAAUCGAUAUAAUUUUGAUGAGUUGAGUUCUGACGCAGCAGUAGGUACGUAAAGAAUUCUCUCUCGUGUCGGGGGAUGACAUGUCUCGCUUCCAUCGACGUUUAUUUGCGAUUAAACAGUAACGUCGUUUCUAAUAUCCAAGCUUGAGCUCAGCGGAAUUAUACCAGUCCCUGCUAAAACUGUAUUAUUGGUACACCGAGAUAACUUGGGAUGAAUUCUAUCACAUUCACUCUUUCAAGCCUAUUACACCACAUUACUACGGAUAAACAUAUACCAUCGCCACGUAUAACAAUAUAUAACCGUUAAAAAAGACCGACAAUUUUCGUGUAAAUAACUGAGAAUAAUAAUUGAGAAUAAUCAGGUAAAAAAAGUAACAGAGUACUAUUACUUAUUAGUUAUAUAUACAUAUGUACAUGUAUAUACUAUGUAUAUAUCUAUACAUACAUAUAUGUAUAUGCGCAUAUAUUUGUAUAUAUAUGCUUAUAUACAUAUGUACAUACAUAUAUAUACAUGUGCGCGAAUUAGAUAUUUCUCUCCUCCGCAUUAAACAUUACGCCCUUUUUUUAGUAGUUUCUUCCCUCUCAAACGUGAAACUACGACAAUUGUCUAGAAAGCGUUCGGAUAGAAUUUUGUAAAUAUUAGCGUAUUAAUGAAGAGUUAGAGACGAUAACUCAUUAAAAGCCGCAUAUCAAUCUUAGUUUAUAUAUGUUUUUAUGAAAUUGAUUACGAUCUCGUAUUGAGUCGCAUUACAUGAAGAAUAACACAAAUGCUGCGAAAUGGAAUAACAAUCUCUUGCUUGCGAUUUUGAAUUUUCUUUUAUUGCGAUAUGCGGUUUGGUAUUAUUGUCUAGAGCGUUUCUCAUGUAUAUUACGCAUAAACAAAAUGCGGUAACGGAGUAUCAUUAUUUAUUAAAAAACGAGAUAUUUGAUGACAUUUGUAGGUAUAAUUACACAAACAAUAAAUAAUUUAUGAACUUCUGAUUUUUAACGCGUAGAUUUAGUGUAAUUUGUAACUGUAUUUAUUAUUGUCUUCAAUAAUUAGUGUGUAUACUUUGUAAAAAUGUGUACUUUUAGCGCUUCACAAACAUGUUUAUACAUACAUAAUCCUUUUAUUUUUUUAAUAUUUCGUACAAAUAAAAUUUACUAAUUGAGGCAGCAUAAUAUUACUUGGCGCAACUAUAAUUGGAUUGUAAUUCCAAUAACUAUGAUAUAUGCAUUGUAUAAUUAGAGCUAGCGAGAACAUGAUUGCGCCGAUGUAGAUCGAAAGUUUAUUUCUUUAAACUACAUGUGCAAAAAAGAUACCAUUGGUAAACUACAGAAUUGUUAUAAAUGGAAAUUAUAAUCAUGUUGUAUUAUUAUAAGAACGUCAAAACCUCAUUUAAUAAAAUCUUAUUAAUUUAA